GACGAACGCUGGCGGCGUGCUUAACACAUGCAAGUCGAACGGAAAGGCCUGCUUUCCCUUGUGGAUUGCGGGUACUCGAGUGGCGAACGGGUGAGUAACACGUGAGUGAUCUGCCCCCAACUUGGGUAUAAGCCUGGGAAACUGUGUCUAAUUCCCGAUAGGACUGCAGGGUGGUGCCUGUGGUGGAAAACGAUUUUCUAGUGGUUGGGGAUGAGCUCGCGGCCUAUCAGCUUGUUGGUGGGGUAAUGGCCUACCAAGGCGGCGACGGGUAGCCGGCCUGAGAGGGUGGACGGUCACAUUGGGACUGGGAUAAGGCCCAGACUCCUACGGGAGGCAGCAGUGGGGAAUAUUGCACAAUGGGCGGAAGCCUGAUGCAGCGACGCCGCGUGGGGGAUGACGGCCUUCGGGUUGUAAACUCCUUUCGACCGCGAGGAAGCCACCUGGUUGGAAGGGUGGUGACGGUAGUGGUAGAAGAAGCACCGGCUAACUACGUG
rnacentral:rRNA from 1 species